rnacentral:rRNA from 1 species
GAUGAACGCUGGCGGCGUGCCUAAUACAUGCAAGUCGAGCGAACGGACGAGAAGCUUGCUUCUCUGAUGUUAGCGGCGGACGGGUGAGUAACACGUGGAUAACCUACCUAUAAGACUGGGAUAACUUCGGGAAACCGGAGCUAAUACCGGAUAAUAUUUUGAACCGCAUGGUUCAAAAGUGAAAGACGGUCUUGCUGUCACUUAUAGAUGGAUCCGCGCUGCAUUAGCUAGUUGGUAAGGUAACGGCUUCCCAAGGCAACGAUGCAAAGCCGACCUGAGAGGGUGAUCGGCCACACUGGAACUGAGCCACGGUCCAGACUCCUACGGGAGGCGGCAGUAGGGAAUCUUCCGCAAUGGGCGAAAUCCUGACGGAGCAACGCCGCGUGAGUGAUGAAGGUCUUCGGAUCGUAAAACUCUGUUAUUAGGGAAGACCAUAUGUGUAAGUAACUGUGCACAUCUUGACGGUACCUAAUCAGAAAGCCACGGCUAACUACGUG